rnacentral:rRNA from 1 species
AUUGAACGCUGGCGGCAGGCCUAACACAUGCAAGUCGAGCGGGGCGGCGGACGAGUGAGUAAUGCCUAGGUAUCUGCCUGGUCGUUGGUGAUAACUUCCGGAAACGGGCGCUAAUACCGCAUUCUCUCAGAUGAGCCUAGGUCGGAUUAGCUAGUUGGUGGGGUAAAGGCCUACCAAGGCGACGAUCCGUACCUGGUCUGAGAGGAUGAUCAGUCACACUGGAACUGAGACACGGUCCAGACUCCUACGGGAGGCAGCAGUGGGGAAUAGUGGACAAUGGGCGAAAGCCUGAUCCAGCCAUGCCGCGUGUGUGAAGAAGGUCUUCGGAUUGUAAAGCACUUUAAGUUGGGAGGCGUUACCGACAGAAUAAGCACCGGCUAACUUCGUGCCAGCAGCCGCGGUAAUUC